GGAGGUGUAGCUUAAGUGAUAGAGUGCAUGCUUAGUAUGUGCAAGGUCCCGGGUUCAAUUCCCAGUACCUCCU
rfam:Camelus ferus unplaced genomic scaffold scaffold2748, whole genome shotgun sequence.